GGGGGCGCAUUUGGCUUCGACGGGGGUCACGAAGCAGUGCAGUGCAUGCCGAGGCCCAGUCACCUCGUUAAUCCGCUGGAAAUCGACAGUCGCCAACGACGACCGUUACGCUCUCGCGGCCUAACACCCGCGGGACUCUGCUCCGGUUCUGCCUCGGACCGGCUAGCGCAAGCUAGAGCAGAGUCAUUUUCGAGGCAUCGCUCGGUUUCGGGUUACUUGACUCCGGGUUAAAUCCAAGGUGACUCGCCCUGAGAUUGCCUGCCCGUCGGCGGCCGAAGGGUUAAACCCAAUGACGUGGCUAAGCAUGUAGUACUGUCUGUGUAGGGCUUUCGGACGCGGGUUCGAUUCCCGCCGCCUCCACCA
rnacentral:tmRNA from 1 species